UUCUAGCUCAGUCGGUAAAAGCAUGAGGCUCUUAAUCUCAGGCUUUUGGGUUUUAAGCCCCACACUGGACAA